AGCAAAUGAAAGGUGCCUUGACCAUUCGCAACAACAACUGUAUCACCGUAUCAUCACCGACAUACUACUAAUCGAGAGACCUGGAUAAAGAACAACAUCCAUCCCAGGAUUACGGAAAGACGUGAGCGGCCGUGAUGUACGACGGCCAGGAAGUCAGGCUGUAGCAUGGGUAGUCACCUGGGGAUGCUGCUUGUCAGGGACGUUCCUGUACUCUAUUGUUGGACCAGAUUGUUGCUUGUCCCCCAGUAACGGCAGUAGAGCGCCUCUUUUCAAAGUGACAGCUACACAGUGUUCCUAAUCCCAGUAUUGUCAACUCAAGAUCUCUUACCCGGGUUAUCAAUAAUGGAAUUAUCUCCUGUCUUAUUCACAUAAUCAGAAAUAAGAAAUAGACUUUCAUACCCACGCAAUCAAUAGUGCAUAUGGAAACCCUUACCCAAGUGAUCAGUCAUGUAAACGGACCCCUUUCUUAAGUAAUUAGUAUUGACAGCAGCACAAAUCUUAUCCGAGUAAUCAUUGAAAACGAUAGAUCACAUACCCAUGUAAUCUGCAAUGUAAACGGUAGAUUGCCAGGGUAAUUAGCAGUACUAAUGAAGAUUAGGUCCCUCACCCAAGUAAUCAUGGAAACAGCAGAUCCCUUUACGAGUUCACCAGUAGAGGGCACAUCAAUAUUAUUUACCAAACAUACACCCAUGUCUGUUUUCGGGUCGCACGGAAUACUUGAGGAUAGCCGACAGACAUAUGUUCAUGAAAACAAACGUACUUAUAAAAUCAUACAAAAACACACACAUACAUGUUUCUGAUGCUAUUACUUAUAAGUACACGUCAGUGAUUGGACCUGAAAGGAUUACUGUUACAGUUGACAUAUAGAACAGUGUGUUCAUGUACAAGGUUAUUCCUUGAACAUCAGAAGAUUUGACACUUGAACACACAGUUUCCAAUUAAAUUCCUUUGUGAAACAAAAACAAACAAAAAACCAAUACACUAUGUUGCUAUUUCAUAUAAUGUGUAAAUCAAGAAGUAUUUUAGACUUCUGUUGUUAUUUUUUCUUUAGUCCACCAUACAUGGUUGUGAGCAGUUUGGUUUUUUGUUAGACAGGGAUUUAUUUCUCUCAGUUUUUGUUUGUACAUUUAUACAAACAUUUACGUUGGGUAGUUCAUACUAAUGGAACUUUAAAGGGAGACAAUAAUUUCCUACUUAACUCGCAAGAGUUAUGUUACUUGUUUAAUGAUUAGUUCAGUUGUUGGUCCAGUGUCAACAUUUCAAAGCUGUAAAAUUAGUCAGACCUUUACUGUUUUCACAUUGGCCAACAAGCAGAGCCAGACUUUUAGAUCUGGACAUGUCUUGUCGCAAGAUGAAGGGGGAGUGGCAGAACUGUCAUAAUUUAUGGCUCUCUGCGGUUUAUUCUUGUGCACAANAGAC
rnacentral:misc_RNA from 1 species